GGUCCUGUAGCUCAGCUGAUCAGAGUGCCGUGACGGUGACACGAAGGUCAUGGGUUCUACUCCUAUCGGGGCUA
rnacentral:tRNA from 1 species